AUACGUAGGUGGCAAGCGUUGUCCGGAAUUAUUGGGCGUAAAGAGCGCGCAGGCGGUCCUUUAAGUCUGAUGUGAAAGCCCACGGCUCAACCGUGGAGGGUCAUUGGAAACUGGGGGACUUGAGUGCAGAGGAGGAAAGUGGAAUUCCAAGUGUAGCGGUGAAAUGCGUAGAGAUUUGGAGGAACACCAGUGGCGAAGGCGACUUUCUGGUCGGUAACUGGCGCGGAGGCGCGAAAGCGUGGGGAGCAAACAGGAUUAGAUACCCUGGUAGUCCACGCCGUAAACGAUGAGUGCUAAGUGUUAGGGGGUUUCCGCCCCUUAGUGCUGCAGCUAACGCAUUAAGCACUCCGCCUGGGGAGUACGGUCGCAAGACUGAAACUCAAAGGAAUUGACGGGG
rnacentral:rRNA from 1 species